rnacentral:rRNA from 1 species
UACGUAGGUGGCCAGCGUUAUCCGGAUUCACUGGGCGUAAAGCGCGUGCAGGCGGUUCCGUAAGUCGAGCGUGAAAGCUCCUGGCUUAACUGGGAGAGGUCGUUCGAUACUGCGGGACUUGAGGUUGGGAGAGGGACGUGGAAUUCCCGGUGUAGUGGUGGAAUGCGUAGAGAUCGGGAGGAACACCAGUGGCGAAGGCGGCGUCCUGGCCCACACCUGACGCUGAGACGCGAAAGCGUGGGGAGCGAACGGG